rnacentral:rRNA from 1 species
UACGGAGGGGGCGAGCGUUAUUCGGAAUUAUUGGGCGUAAAGGGCGCGUAGGCGGCUGGACAAGUCAAAGGUGAAAUCCCUCGGCUCAACUGAGGAACUGCCUUUGAAACUGUACGGCUUGAGGCCGGGAGGGGGUAGCGGAAUUCCCAGUGUAGCGGUGAAAUGCGUAGAUACUGGGAGGAACACCAGUGGCGAAGGCGGCUACCUGGACCGGUUCUGACGCUGAGGCACGAAAGCGUGGGUAGCAAACAGG